rnacentral:tRNA from 1 species
GGUAGCGUGGCCGAGCGGUCCAAGGCGAUGGUUUAAGGCACCAGUCUCUUCGUGGGCAUGGGUUCGAAUCCCAUCGCUGCCA